ACGGGUCGAGUAACGCGUAUCGCAACCUACCUAUCGAGAGGGGAAUAACCCGGCGAAAGUCGGACUAAUACCGCAUAAACAGGGGCACCGCAUGGUGAUAUUUGUUAAAGAAAUUCGCUGAUAGAUGGGCAUGCGUUCCAUUAGGUAGUUGGUGAGGUAACGGCUCACCAAGCCGACGAUGGAUAGGGGAACUGAGAGGUUGGUCCCCCACACUGGUACUGAGACACGGACCAGACUCCUACGGGAGGCAGCAGUGAGGAAUAUUGGUCAAUGGGCGGGAGCCUGAACCAGCCAAGUCGCGUGGAAAAGGAAGAAGGAUCUAUGGUUCGUAAAACUUCUUUUGCAGGGGAAUAAAGUGCAGGACGUGUCCUGUUUUGUAUGUACCCUGAGAAUAAGGAUCGGCUAACUCCGUGCCAGCAGCCGC
rnacentral:rRNA from 1 species